UCACGAACUGUGAGAUCAUGACCUGAGCCGAAGUCGGAUACUUAACCAACUGAGCCACCCAGGUGCCCCCAGUUAUGGAAUAUUUCUAGCUCCUAGCAGUCUCCCUCUUGCCCUUACUCAGCCAACCACCCCUUAAAUGUCAUCACUAUUCUGACCUCUGUCACCAUGGAUUAGUUUUGCCUGGCCCCGAAUUUAAUAUACAUGAAAUCUUAUUGUAUGUAUUCUUUUGUAUUUGACAUCUUUCACUCAACAUGAGGUGAGGUUCAUUUAUGCUGUGAUGUGAAGCCGUCAUCCACGGUUUUGCCUUACUGUGUGGUAUUCCACUGUAUGACACAAUAACAAUUUAGUCAUCCUUUCUACUGUUGAUGGACUUUGUGUUUCCAGCAGUGGCAGCAGCAACUUUUGCAUGCACUUCUUGGGAGGAACACGUGUAAGCCCUUGACCACAUAUGCAAAAGUCAAGUUCCUAUGUUACAGGCAAGAGGAGCUUCCUCUCCACAGUUUUCUUCUGGGGAAAUAUCUAUAAUGAGGAGUGAGGCGACUGUGUAGCCAAAAGAACGGACGAAACUGAAAACGACGGUUGCACUUCCGAGGAAGGAAAGAUGUGGAUACACCUAUGACCUCAUUAUAACUUGUUCAGCUAUGUAUUUACAAAGUUUCCCGAAGAGUGGUUCACUUUCUGGAAAGAAGAUGUCAGGUGAAUCCCUGAGACUCGGAGGCAUCUCUUGUGUAAAAUGGGCCUUGUCGUAUUUCCCUUGGAGUGGUGAUGGAUAUAGAAGAGGUAACUGACCUGAAGCCCCAGCCACAAGGCCUGGCCCAUGAAAGGGAGUGGUUAGGGUUGUCAGUGAAUUAUAAUGACUCCAGUUCUUAACUUGUUCUCUUAGGAGCUAAUAGUUGUCUACUCAUUCAGUCACUCCACAGACCUCCACUUUGAGAACAUUUUCCUGGGCAUUGCAGAAAGAACAAAACAAAACACAGUCCCUGGCUUCCAAGGGCUAACAAUCUAUCGGGGGAGACCAUGCAAGCUGAGGACCAAACUGAGGAAGAAUGCAAAUACUCACAAACUAGAAAAUGGCAGAUUCCACAGGCCUGAUGAGGAUCCUAGGCAAAAUUCUAGGACAGAUGAUUAAACGGACAAUUUGUCAGCAGUUUGGAAAGGAAGCAGGGAUCAUGGAGAACAAGGCAUUACCCACUGAUUGGGCAGCUCUCUGUUGGUCAUGUAUCAUGUGCCACACACUGGUCUAGGUGCUGGGACUAAAACUUAGGGUUCUGCUCUCACGGAGCUUAUGGUCGUGCAAGGACAUUAAAUACUAAGAAUAACAAUAAAGGGUCUUGAGUAUCAAGAGAGAGGAGUACUGGAGGCAGAGAAAUCUGUAAUUUUAUGUCACUGGGUGAGGUAUUACAUAUACUGAUGAGGGACUGAAGCAGAAAAAUGUUCACCUUUAGCCCAGAAGGCUGACCGACAGCCUGCAUUGUUCCGAUAAGGAUCAAAUACGUGCCCUUUGCUACAGUCUUAAAAGGUCUCAUGACUGCUUGUAAAUCUCACUGAUAGUUAAUAUCGAGCUGAAGGAUAAGCACCAGAGAAAUCUUGUGAAAGUAGUUUUACGUGUAGAAAUUUGAAGAAGACAUUUAUGAUCUAAUACUCCCUGCACGUCCUCUCCCCCUUGAGCACUAAGCAGCAGAAAGUGUAGCACUUUCGGCCCCUGGGUCCUAUCCCCGUGCUGUAAUAAAAGUACCUUUCUGGCUCUUUCCAUAAUUUGGCUAUUGUUGAAAGCGAUGAGAAAGAAUAAAAUCCUGCUAUUUGCAGCA